rnacentral:rRNA from 1 species
CGGAGGGUCAUUACCGAGUUAUUCAACUCCCAAACCCCCUGUGAACCUUACCACACACGUUGCCUCGGCGGGACCGCCCCGGCGCCCUCGCGGCCCGGACCAAGGCGCCCGCCGGAGGACCACCAGACUCUCCUGUCGCAGUGGCAUUUCUCUCCGAGUCAAACAAGCAAAAUGAAUCAAAACUUUCAACAACGGAUCUCUUGGUUCUGGCAUCGAUGAAGAACGCAGCGAAAUGCGAUAAGUAAUGUGAAUUGCAGAAUUCAGUGAAUCAUCGAAUCUUUGAACGCACAUUGCGCCCGCCAGUACUCUGGCGGGCAUGCCUGUCCGAGCGUCAUUUCAACCCUCGAGCCCGUCUCGGUGUUGGGGGCCCCACGGCCGCGAGGCCGCCCCCGAAAUGCAUUGGCGACCCCGCCGCGGCCUCCCCUGCGCAGUAGCUCCCAGAGAACCUCGCACCGGAAACGCGGAGGCGGUCACGCCGUAAAACAACUCUCCUCCUGGAAGUUGACCUCGGAUCAGGUAGGGAUACCCGCUGAACUUAAGCAUAUCAAUAAGCGGAGGAAAAGAAACCAACAGGGAUUGCCCCAGUAACGGCGAGUGAAGCGGCAACAGCUCAAAUUUGAAAUCUGGCCCCCCCCGCGGGGCCCGAGUUGUAAUUUGCAGAGGAUGCUUUUGGCGCGGCGCCUUCCGAGUUCCCUGGAACGGGACGCCAUAGAGGGUGAGAGCCCCGUCUGGUCGGACGCCCAGCCUCUGUAAAGCUCCUUC